rnacentral:rRNA from 1 species
UGGGUGAUCUGCCCUGCACUUUGGGAUAAGCCUGGGAAACUGGGUCUAAUACCGAAUACCCCUUGCUGGCCGCAUGGUCUGGUGGGGGAAAGCUUUUGCGGUGUGGGAUGGGCCCGCGGCCUAUCAGCUUGUUGGUGGGGUGAUGGCCUACCAAGGCGACGACGGGUAGCCGGCCUGAGAGGGUGACCGGCCACACUGGGACUGAGACACGGCCCAGACUCCUACGGGAGGCA